rnacentral:rRNA from 1 species
CGCCGCGCGCGGCGGCGGGGCGGGGGCACGGGGGGACUCCUACGGGAGGCAGCAGUGGGGAAUUUUGGACAAUGGGCGCAAGCCUGAUCCAGCCAUUCCGCGUGCAGGAUGAAGGCCCUCGGGUUGUAAACUGCUUUUGUACGGAACGAAACGGUGCUGGUUAAUACCCGGCGCUAAUGACGGUACCGUAAGAAUAAGCACCGGCUAACUACGUGCCAGCAGCCGCGGUAAUACGUAGGGUGCGAGCGUUAAUCGGAAUUACUGGGCGUAAAGCGUGCGCAGGCGGUCUUGUAAGACAGGUGUGAAAUCCCCGGGCUUAACCUGGGAACUGCAUUUGUGACUGCAAGGCUGGAGUGCGGCAGAGGGGGAUGGAAUUCCGCGUGUAGCAGUGAAAUGCGUAGAUAUGCGGAGGAACACCGAUGGCGAAGGCAAUCCCCUGGGCCUGCACUGACGCUCAUGCACGAAAGCGUGGGGAGCAAACAGGAUUAGAUACCCUGGUAGUCCACGCCCUAAACGAUGUCAACUGGUUGUUGGUCCUUCACUGGAUCAGUAACGAAGCUAACGCGUGAAGUUG